rnacentral:rRNA from 1 species
CAGUCGCCGCGGGAAUACAGAGGGUGCGAGCGUUAAUCGGAUUUACUGGGCGUAAAGCGUGCGUAGGCGGCUUCUUAAGUCGGAUGUGAAAUCCCUGAGCUUAACUUAGGAAUUGCAUUCGAUACUGGGAAGCUAGAGUAUGGGAGAGGAUGGUAGAAUUCCAGGUGUAGCGGUGAAAUGCGUAGAGAUCUGGAGGAAUACCGAUGGCGAAGGCAGCCAUCUGGCCUAAUACUGACGCUGAGGUACGAAAGCAUGGGGAGCAAACAGGAUUAGAUACCCCCGUAGUCCCUGUCUCUUAUAU